GGGGGUGCAACGUUGUUCGGAAUUAUUGGGCGUAAAGAGCGUGUAGGCGGCCUGAUGUGUCAGAUGUGAAAGCCCUGGGCUUAACCCAGGAAGUGCAUUUGAAACUGUCAGGCUUGAGUAGGGGAGAGGGAAGUGGAAUUCCUGGUGUAGAGGUGAAAUUCGUAGAUAUCAGGAGGAACACCGGUGGCGAAGGCGACUUCCUGGCCCUAUACUGACGCUGAGACGCGAGAGCGUGGGUAGCAAACAGGAUUAGAUACCCUGGUAGUCCACGCCGUAAACGAUGUUCACUAGGUGUUGGGGGUAUUGACCCCCUCAGUGCCGGAGCUAACGCGUUAAGUGAACCGCCUGGGGAGUACGGUCGCAAGACUAAAACUCAAAGGAAUUGACGGGGGCCCGCACAAGCGGUGGAGCAUGUGGUUUAAUUCGAUGCAACGCGAAGAACCUUACCUGGGCUUGACAUCCACGGAACCUGCUGGAAACAGCANGGUGCCCUUCGGGGAGCCGUGAGACAGGUGCUGCAUGCUGUCGUCAGCUCGU
rnacentral:rRNA from 1 species